rnacentral:lncRNA from 1 species
UGGUGAAAAGGGAAGAAGUUUAUAGGCGACAGAAUGCAAGGCCAUCAUUACCUAGGUAACUGGCAAACAUAAUUGUCGAAUCACGAGACAACACAUGUUCGAGUCAUUAAAAUCAAAGAGACGUGCGUCCUUUCAAAUGUUAGAAACCGUUCAAAAACUUUCCCGUAAAGAAAAAAGGUCUUAUUUAUUUCCCGAUCACAUCAAGUUGAGUCACCGAAAAGUAGGGAGAUUAUCUAUACGUAAAAUUAAUGAAUAACAGGUGGAUGUUCGUCGAGUUGACAUGUGGCAAUAAGGACAGGUAGGAUAUGAGUCAGCAAAUCGCUGACACUGGUUACAAGUAUGUGACCGAUAUUGUAUGAGUUCCGAAAAUAUCAAAACUGAAGGGAAGAAUUCGAAAGCAAGGUGCCGAUUAAAGAAGGCACCAUUAAAGGAGCAGCCUUUACAGAGAAUCCUAGCAUUUACACUCAACCGUUAUGCGGCUAUCAAGAGAGGUCUUUAUUUACCUUAAAAAGGAGCUUGAUUUGUGAAUUUUGUCUCCCCUAAUUUAGUUAUAAAUAUAGAAAUUUGUAGUCAUUUGAGGACCAAAAUACUUGUAUGAAAAAGGUUAAUAUUAUUCUCUUAUUUUGCUAAACAUUGUUCUAUUAGAAUUUAGUUCUUGAUAUUGUUCUUGUUUUCAGAGAAGUUCAAUUCAAGGCCCAGGCUUGUCUUUUAUUUAAGUAAUUUUAUUUUAUUCAAUUUUGUUCUUCAUUACUUUAUAUUCUUGUAUCAAUUUAAUUCACGUGUCUAUAAACCAUUUUACGAAUUCAACUGUACCGUUUUAUGGGUAAACAACUGGAACUUAAAAAACAAAAAAAAUCUGGAAUGACAAAAUACUACCCGAAGACAAAGACAAUGGGUGCUUAAGCACCCACGCUACUAAAUGUGAAUCCGCCCUCACUAAUACGAAGAGAAUAUGGACGUUAGAUUCCAAUCAUUUUCAACAUACAUGACGAGUAGAAUGGUACAACUGCACUAACACGGAAGUACAAUUUAUUACAGAUUUAUUUAGGUAGAUAGGUAAAAUAGCUAUAUAUAGGAGGAAGAAUUUUUUUCAUCCAUGGGUUUAACUUUUGUUUUUCCUGUAAUUAAACCAUCAACCUAGUCUUUCACCUCCUAUGGGGGGUAUGGGGGGAAGAGGGAAUUUGGGGUUUGGCAUGAACCUUACCUUAUUUAUUAAUAGCAAAAGAAAACUUAAUUAGCUCAGUUGGGGCGGAGGAUAUUAAGGAGAGAUUCACCCAAGGAUGGGCAGCAUCUGUUGAUGCAGCAAUCUGCAUAGAGAGGCCUAACAUUGCAGUAAGAGCAGCUGUUGGAGCAAAACUCAGAGCAAGACUCUGCAUUUCCAGUGUAGAAACAGACUACCAUGAGUACUAUUAUCAUCCAAAUUAUAACUAAAACAUUGUUAUUUUUCUUCACCAUGGCUCUCUCUCUCCCUCUAUAUUUCACUUCUUCUCUAUGUUUUACAUUGUUUUUGAAGGAUAUAUAUAUAGUACUUCUCAAGGAGAAAAAACACUAUUGUACUUCUUGGAAGAUCUAUUGAUAAAGCAAAUGUAACAUACCCAAUUCACAUAUAGAUAGUGGUUUUAAUUAAGGUUUUUAACAUUAAACUCAUUGUACAUUUAAAUAUUAGAUCAAAUUUUAAUUUUAGUUGUUAUAUACGUAUAUGUAUUUGUAUGUUCCGAUUUCUUGUCAAAUAUUGGGUUCAGUUGAAUUCAUUGUUCAAAAAUUUUAGCCGCCCUCAAGUCUUCCCUAUAGAGCCGCCUCUCAAGUCUCACCUAAUCCCAUCCGAUCUCUCGCCCCCCCCUACACACACAAAAAGAAAACACAUAAAAUAUGUUGACAAAUCUAUAUUAUAUUUCAUGAUUAAGACAAUAAUAGAAUUUCCUUUUCUGUUUUUGAUUUACUCAAGGACAAUAAUUGAGUUAAUAAAGUCCACAAAUAAUUGAGAGAGAGUGUUUGUUAUAAGUUAUUAUCCAAGAUAGCUACUAGCCUACUGCUUAACCAUUGGGCCCAGCAAUAGUUGUACAAGAGACUGAACUCUCAUAUUGUCCAAGUAAGCACUCUCCACGUUAGGCAUCCAGCAAAAUUGCUCUAGAUAGAAUUUGACUGAACUUUCUUUUCUGUUGUUGUUGUUUUUUCAAUGAAGGAAACCCAGAAAAUUAAUCUGAAAACAAUUUUAGCAUGUAUUUUACCUUUGAAAUUUAUCUGCGGUCCUUGAAAUAUUACUUCCUCAAUUCUAACAGAUGUCUGAAUAUGACUUUUAUUUCUAAAAACUAAAUUAACAAUUAAAAUUGUUAAUAUGUAAGAGGAACAUGUAGGGUCCUAUAACGAAACUCUCUCUCUGUAAGAGGCAUGCCAACAUACCGUUGAGACAAAGUUUCACUUCCACUCCCAUUUUGUAAUACGCAUUAGAAUUUAGAUUAAUUCCUUCGCUCUUUUUCCUACCACGUAGUUUGAAAACCAAUGUGUUUACCCUUAAAACGGAUAACAAUUAAAUUUGUAUGCAGUUUUAAGGAUAUGUGGAUUGAUUCAACGUAAAUAAUUAAGAAUAUUUGAUAAAUGAUUUAAAGACAAAAUAAAUAACCAAACCAGUUGCAAUGUUAUGGCGUAGCCCUAAUUUAGGUUGAACCGUAAUUUAACCCCGAUCGGUCCCUUGGUUUGAACUCAAUUGUGAAUGAAGAACAAAACAAUUAAGUAAGAGCUUUUACAAUAGCUAGAGAAUAGAGAAUGAAUUUGUAUUGCCUUGAGUUGCGAGUUACAAGGUAUGAUAUCAAAGAAAAACUUCCAUUUUAUAUAGUAGGAGAGUUUCAUACCUAGUACAAGUCUAAAAAGGACAAAAAUCCUCCUUCCUCGUUAAUUACUGAUCCGUAACCGACGUAGAUCUUGCCCGAUGUCGGUUACAGAUUAGUAACUAAUGAGGAAGGAGAAUUUUUACCUUUUUAGACUUGUAUUAGGGAUGAAACUCUCCUACUAUAUAAAUGAGAAGUUUUUCUUUGAUAACACACCUUGUAACUCGCAAAUCAAAGCAAUACAAAUUCAUUCUCUGCUUUCUAGGUAUUGUGAAAGCUCUUACUUAAUUGUUUUGUUCUUCAUUCUCAAUUGGUUUUGAACCAAGGGACCGAUCGAGGGCAAACUACUGUUCAACCUAGAUUCGGGCUAGGCCAUAACAUUGCAACUGAUUUGGUCAUUUAUUUUAUCUUUAAAUCAUUUAUCUAAUAUUCUUGAUUAUUUGUGUUGAAUCAAUCCACAUAUCCUUAAAACCGCGUACAAAUUUAAUUGUUAUAUGUUUUAAGGAUAAACAGUUUGAUACAAAUCUCCAUAACACACUCUAUUACGCUUGUUCUUUAAAGUCUUAAAUUUAGGUCAGUUUAAAAAUAUCAAAUUCGCAGUCUGCCUACUUGAACAUUGAUGUUGAGUCUGGCCAUCAUGGCGAAAAUAAUAAUCUAGUGCAUAGCAACGAGGUGCCUUCUGCUGAUACCAACGGAGUCUUAGUUGCCGAUCCGGUCUAUGCUAACUCAUAGGUGACCAUCGAUGUCAAUCUACGAACCGAUCCCGAAAAUAGCGUUGGUGAGGGACCCAGACCAAUAACUCGAGAAGCGCCCGAAGGCCAAGGCAAUGGGGUAAGCUUACAGUUAAUCUUCGAAACGUUGCAGGCUCAACAAGAGGCAAUAGCGCAGCUACAAAAUCAAAGUCACGCCCCCAAGAGGGUUGAGCCCGAGCAAUCCUGGGAGCAUUCAGACCGAAUGACUCUAUGAAAUUACUUCGAUACUUCCACAUAUUAUAGGUAAUGUAGGAGACAUCUCUAUUUUUCCCUCGGGGAAUUUUUAGAAUUCCCACUGCUUAACUUUUCAUCCGAAGAAAUGAACAGAUCACCGAGAGACCGGGUGAAGCUGAGUCCGGGGUCAAUCCCGAAAUAAUGAAAAUACUUGAAGCAUUAACAUAGAGGGUGGAGUCAGGUGAAAAGAAAAGUGAGGCCAAUGAAAAUAAGGUGGAAACAUACAAUUCUAGGGUCGAUCAAAUCCCGGGAGAAUCCCCGAUAUUGAAAGGGCCGGAUUCCAAGAAGUUUAUCCGAAAGCCUUUUCCUCCGAGAUUGUCACCGAAGCUGAUCCCAAAGAGGUUUCGUAUGCUUGAUAUCACAAAAUACAAGGGAACCACAGAUCCAAAUGAGCAUGUGACCUCCUAUACAUGCGCAAUCAAAGGGAACGACUAGGAGGAUGACGAAAUCGAGUCGGUGUUACUGAAACAGUUUGGGGAGGCUUUGUCCAAAUGAGCAAUAAUAUGGUAUCACAACUUACCCCCCAAAAUUCAUUGACUUGUUUUCUAUGCUUGCAAAUGCUUUUGUGAAGGGCCAUGCCGGGGCCUUCAAGGUCGAGACCAGAAAGUCAAACUUUUUCAAGGUUAAACAGAAAGACAACCAGAUGCUCACGGAGUUCGUGUCAAGAUUCCAGAUGGAAUGGAUGGACCUGUCUCCGAUCGCAGAUGAUUGGGCCGUUCAGGCAUUCACUCAGGGACUUCACCCCCGAAGCUCCUUGGCUUCAUAACUGCUAAAACAAAAUUUUCUAGAGUACCCAACGGUGACUUGGGCUAACGUCCACAACAUGUACCAGUCAAAAAUCAGGGUCGAGGGCGACCAACUCGGAGCCCCUUCUGGGUUUGUUUAUCCCAUCAAGGUCGACGACAGGUCCAAGAGAGCCGUUGAUCAUGAGUCAAGGCUGGUACGGGAUCGGUAUCAACCAUACAACACGGAUCGAAGAGGAAAUGGGUCCGGACGUCACCCCACAAGAAAUGAGAAGAGAAGCGAUCGAGGGCCCAAUACCCGUGGUUUGAUGAGUAAGAAUGGUUUUUACAAGCCACUCGGGGGUAGGAAAGCACCGAGAUUAUCAGAGUAUAACUUCAACGUUGAUACUGCCAGCAUCGUGUCAGCCAUCAGACGUAUCAAGAGACCAAGUGGCCCCAACCAUUGAGCUUUGACUCUACCCAAAGAGAUCGUAACUUGAUGUGUAAGUAUCACGGCACUCAUGGUCACCGGACGAAGGAUUGCCAAAAAUUGAGAGAAUAAGUUGUCUGGUUGUUCAACAAUGGGCACCUCCGAUAAUUUUUGAGUGAUCGAGCCAAAAACCACUUCGGGAAUAGGGAUGCCAACAAACAGGUUGAACAAGUAGAGCCUUAGCACGUCAUCAACAUGGUCAUUGGAGGGGUCGAUGUCCCCCAAGGGCCAAUGAUAAAGUGCACUAAAGUAUCUAUCACAAGGGAAAAAUGCACCCAAUAUUAUGUCCCGGAGGGAACCAUUUCAUUCGGCGACGAGGAUGUCGAGGGCAUUGUACAGCCUUACAAUGAUGCGCUGGUAAUAUUUGUACAUAUCAAUAAAUCACGAGUUAAAUGUGUGUUGAUUGAUCUAGGUAGCUCAGCCAACAUCAUCAGAUCAUGGGUCAUAUAGCAAUUGGGGUUAAAGGUCCAAAUAGUGCCGGCAAUCCGAGUGUUAAACGGAUUUAACAUGACAUGCGAAACCACUAAAGGGGAGAUAACCCUGUUGGUGAACAUCAUCGGGACGAUCCAAUAGACAAUGUUCUACGUGAUCGAAGGGGACAUAUGGUAUAACUCCCUAUUUGGAAGGCCGUGGGUUCACAACAUAAGGGCGGUACCCUCGACCUUGCACCAGGCAUUGAAAUUCCUUACGCCGGGAGGAGUCAAGAUGGUCUACAGAGAGCAGAUGUCUGCAAAGGAGAUCUUUGCAGUCGAUGAGGUAAUCACGGUGCCUGCGUUUUUGACAUCAAGGAAAACAAAGCCGACCAGAAAGAAAGAAAUUAAAUAGCAAUCACUGAUGUCGGUCUCGGCCGAACCAGAGGAAAGAGGAGUAGACGAGGAGGAUGAUUACGGAGUUCCAAGAUCGUUAUUAGCUCCUGAUGAUACCGACUCCACCAAAUCGACCGUCAAAGAGUUGGAGCAAGUCAUAUUAAACGAACACCUACCGGAUCGAAAGGUAUACUUGGGCACGGGGUUAACCCCCGAUCUCAGGAAAAAACUCAUCAAUUUUUUUAAAGCUAACAUAGACUGUUUUGCUUGGUCCCAUCUUGACAUAAUAGGGAUCCCGCCAUAGGUAACCACUCAUAAGCUGAGUUUGGACCCGAAGUUCCAUCCGAUUAAGCAGAAGAGGAGGCCGCAAUCUGAGGUCAAGCAUGCAUUCAUCAAGGACAAGUUAUCCAAACUCUUUAAAAUAGGGUCCAUCUAGGAAGUUAAAUACCCGGACAGGUUAGCUAAUGUUGUGGUAGUGCCUACAAAAGGGAAUAAGCUAAGAAUCUCUGUAGAUUACAAAGAUCUAAACAAUGCAUGCCCUAAGGAUUCUUUCCCUUUUCCUAACAUCGAUCGAAUGAUCGAUGCAACGGCUGGGCAUGAGAUACUCAGUUUACUCGAUGCCUAUUCCAGGUACAACCAAAUUCGGAUGGACCCGGAUGAUCAAGAAAAGACAUCUUUCAUCACUAAAUUUGGCACAUACUUCUAUAAUGUAAUGCCGUUUGGAUUAAAGAACACAGGUGCUGCUUAUCAACACUUAGUAAAUUGGAUGUUCGAAGAACAUAUAGGAAAAUUAAAUGACGUUUAUAUUGACAACAUGUUAGUCAAGUCCAUGCGAGCAGAGGACCAUUUGAAAUAUUUACAGGAGACCUUCGACAUACUAAAGAAAUACAAUAUGAAGCUGAAUCCAAAAAAGUGUGCAUUCGGGGUCGGAUCGGGAAUAUUCCUCGGUUUCAUGGUAUCCAAGCGAGGGAUCGAGAGCAACACCGACAAAAUCAAAGCCAUAGAGAACAUCAUCGUGGUGGACAACGUCAAGGCCGUUCAAAGGUUGAUCGGGCAUAUAGCCACCCUGCGCCAGUUCAUAUUGAGGUCCUCGAACAAAAGCCAUCGAUUCUUCUCACUAUUUUGGAAGAAAUCAAAUGGUACCUAUCAAGUCCGCCCCUGCUGCACACUUCGAAGACGGAUGAACAAUUGUACCUUUAAUUGGCAGUUUUCGAGGUGGCGGUAAGUGGAGUCUUAGUCCGAGAGGAAGAAGGUACGCAAUUUCCUAUUUACUAUGUCAAUAAAACUCUAGAUGAGGCCGAAUCAAGGUAUCCAUAUGUGGCGUGACCUCUUACCCGCUGAAGAACAUCAUGCACAAACCCUAGUUCUUGGGCUGGUUGGCCAAGUGGGCCAUCAAAAUUAGCGGGUACGAUAUUGAGUAUCGACCCCGAACCUCCAUAAAAUCUCAUAUUUUGGCAUACUUAGUGGCCAACUUUAUGCCGGGCUUAAUACCCGAAGUCUAAAGGGAAUUGUUGUUCACCUUGGGGACCACUUCAGGAAUUUGGACCCUUUUUACGCACGGUGCCUCGAAUGCGAAGGGGUCCGAGCUCGACAUCGCAUUAAAACUGUCUACGAGGAAUAUAAUUAGGGAAUCUGUUAGAACUGUGAAAUUGACUAACAAUGAGGCCGAGUAUGAGGCCAUGAUUGCAUGUCUAGAAUUGGCUAAAAUCCUUGGAGAUGAGGUGAUCGAAGUUUAGUGCGACUCCCUCCUCGUGGUAAAUCAAGUUAAUGGGACGUUCAAAGUAAAAUAAGCACAGAUGCGAAGGUACUUGGACAAAUUACAGGUAAUGCUGCAUCAAUUCAAGGAAUGGACCCUGCAACACACACUCUGAGAUCAGAACAGUGAGGCUGAUGCUCUGGCUAACUUGGGGUCAUCGGUCGAUGCCGAUGAAUUCAGUUUGGGAAUAGUAGUGCAACUAAUAAAAUCGGUGAUAGAAGAAGGCCACCU